CGCCCCUCCUCAGACUUUGGAGGCCAGGCAGGUUUGGAGGCCUUUGAGUCGGGCGUGGCAGCAGCUCACAGGGUCCCGGGAGGGAGUACUGCAAGGCUAAACAGACUCGGAUCCGUCUGUGAUGAUACAAGUCUUGACCAGCUCGAACACUUACACUUGUUACCUGCUUGUUGAUUGGUUCAGGGCAUCCGUCUGCCUCUAAACAAGCCUCACAAUGGAAAAAAUGACCCACAGAAAUAAAUGACCUGCAUAGUGCCACGCAAGGAUCAGCUGGUAGAAUGGCUGAGAUGUGACCCCCGGGCACUGCAGCAUGAAAGGGUUUGGUAUGGUAAAGUAACUGAAUGGUGAACUGUCUGCCCUGGCUCAUCGGUGUAUGGAUAAGACUGAAAAGCCAGGUUGGAGCCCAAUCAUAGGAAGACUUGAAUCCCCUGGCAGAAGAGUCCGGAAGCCACCAAGUAGUGAUGAGCUCUUUUUUUUUUUUUUGGACUGGACGUGGGGCAUAAAGGAAUAGUCAAAGGAAAUAGCUAAAGGAGAGGGUGAUGAAAGAAGAACGCUGAGAACAGAACCUUGGGGGAUUGCUGCAUUUAGGAAGAGCAAUUAGCCAAGGAAACAAAGUAAGACCCCCCCCCCAUAAUACAGUGUCAUAGGAGCCAGAGGAGAUUAACAGGGUCGGUGGCCACAUAACAGUUCAAAAGGCACGAAUGCCAUUUUCCUGCCUCUCUACUUGCUUCACAUACAGUAUCUCCAUCCCCAAAUAUGUAGUUAUUCAAACUCUAAAAUAUAUUCUGGCAACAGAGGUAAUUACAUAGAAAAUUCAAACUGUGUUUAUGGUCCCUGUACAGCUCUCAUUUUCAAAAGAGGAAAUAUCUGUAUGUGCUCCAUCUCAUGGAGACAAGAGUGCAGUCACAGAGUCCAUCCAUGAAGAUUGCUAGGGGUGUGCACAUGUCUGGCCAGCAGAUGCUACCCGGUCAAAAAGGGGUCAUUAUAUUUCAGACCCUUACAUCAUCUACACACUUUUCAAUGAGUAUAUUAAGGUUAUCACUGGCAGUUUUAUUGAUGGCAUAUACUCAGCACAGUUUGGGGGAUGUGCCCUGGAUAUGUGUGUAUGCUUACAUGUCAUUCAUGGAUGUGGUUAUAUGUAAGCAUAAAUGUGCAUAUAUUUGUAUAAAUCUAUCUGUGUGCAUGUACACAUGUAUGUGCAUGUAACAUAUACAUAUUCUAUGUACAGGCAUAUCAGAAUAGGGCACUACUGUCACUUAGUUUAGCCUGAUUUAUAUAUACCAUAAUGAUGAUAACCCAAAUGAGGAAAUGUUUUUUGUUGCUGUUAAAUAAACCUAAGAGAUGGUAUGAUGUAGUGGAUAGAAAGUCAACCUUGGAGUCAGAAAGACCUGGGUUUGAGUUCUCCUUCUGACAAGAGUCAAACUCUGUGCCUGUGGGCAAGACAGUUACCCUGUCUGUAUCUCAGGCAACCCCCAAAGACUAUAGAAGCUGCCAAAAAGUAUUGAUUCACAUUGAGAAGAGUUUCUUCUUAGGAAUUUCCUUUCCCAACAUAGUGACAAGUCAAGUUUUUUAAAAAAAAAUCAUAAAAGGAAAACUAAUGCUACACAUCCGUAUGAUAAAAAUAAUUAAAUCUAAACAUAUAGUUUUAAGUCAAAUCAGAUUUUUACCUAAAUCACAUUUUUACUGAUUUUCAAGAGGUAGAAAGGAGCCUUUAAAGAUCAUCUAUUCUAGUCCUGUUUGUGUCCUGGCCCCCUGUCAUUGGCAGCCAUCUGGGGAAGCCUUUGGACCUCUUCUCAG